rnacentral:rRNA from 1 species
GACGAACGCUGGCGGCGUGCUUAACACAUGCAAGUCGAACGGAAAGGCCCUGCUUUUGUGGGGUGCUCGAGUGGCGAACGGGUGAGUAACACGUGAGUCACCUGCCCUUGACUUGGGGAUAACUUCAGGAAACUGGGGCUAAUACCGGAUAGGAGCUCCUGCUGCAUGGGGGGGGUUGGAAAGUUUCGGCGGUUGGGGAUGGACUCGCGGCUUAUCAGCUUGUUGGUGGGGUAGUGGCUUACCAAGGCUUUGACGGGUAGCCGGCCUGAGAGGGUGACCGGCCACAUUGGGACUGAGAUACGGCCCAGACUCCUACGGGAGGCAGCAGUGGGGAAUAUUGCACAAUGGGCGGAAGCCUGAUGCAGCAACGCCGCGUGCGGGAUGACGGCCUUCGGGUUGUAAACCGCUUUCGCCUGUGACGAAGCGUGAGUGACGGUAAUGGGUAAAGAAGCACCGGCUAACUACGUG